GCCAAAAUAGCUCAGCUGGGAGAGUGUUAGACCGAAGAUCCAAAGAUCCCUGGUUCGAUCCCGGUUCCGGCA
rnacentral:tRNA from 1 species